ACAUGAAAUAACAAGUCCUCUGAAAUAAGGUGGUGUUAUAAACGUGUCAAAUAACACACCAAAAACAUUAUGCCAGGGUUCAGAAUGCUUGCCUUUAAGUUGUGGAGGGGUGAGGUGCUCUCCAAAACUUUUGAAAGUUUCUUCUCUCUCUCCAAAAUCCUAUUUUAAAAAUAUAUUUGAAUUAACACACAUUUCAAAAACAGUACAAAAAAGUUGUUUGGAAAAUUUUCAAAUAAAUCUUAAAAUAAACUAGACAAUAUUUGAGAGUUGUAGGAAAAAGAAUUAAUUCAUUUGGAGUUAUAUUUAAAAAGUUAUCGGCAGUCAAAGUUGUGGUCAAAAUCUGUUUUUAAUAAAAUCAGGAAAAGGAAAACAUUUCGAAAGAGAUUACGCCUUCGGUGCAGAGAAAAUGUACUGGAGGAUUAUACGCUUUCACUUAAUCCCACGUGGACAGAUGCGGGGUCACUGACAGUGGGUCCAGGGGGCCCACUGGUCAGGUUUGACCAGUCGCCUUUCCCUCUCCUUCCUCUGCCCGAGAGGGGGCGGGACUCCGGCGAUGCUCGCCGGCGAACGGCGGCACCGUUCGGGAAACGGAGGUCACCUGUGGGCUCAUGGGAUCAAGGCAGCCACUCCGGUAGUCAUUAUGGUCUCGGGGGUGGACGGAGCUGCCGGCGGCGAGCUUCGCGGCGGACGGAGGCUUCGGGAGCAGAGUAGUUUUGGGGCUAUGGUGGUUCCCGACCAAAAUCGAGUAGGGGGAUGGGUUCACGGGAGGAUGAGAAGGCUCCUGGUGGAGAGAGUGGAGAGGGGGAGGUACUAGAGGUGCCGGAUUGGCCGGGGCGGUGGCGGCGGCAGGAGUUGCCGAAGAUGAGGAAGGAGGCCUCCCCAGGUCGAAUGCGAGCUAGGGGAGCGCCAUAGGGGUGGCCUGAGGUUGCCUCCGUGUUCGGACGAGCUCGGGGGCCUCCUUUUAUAGCGCGACGAGGUCGGUUCCGUGGCGGUGGAUGAGGAUGCCGGCGAACCGCCUCUCUGUAGCUUGCAGGGCAACGUGGCGGGGCUGGGGAUGGCGGCAGGAGCUAGCGGACGAGCGGGCACUACUCCAGGGGCGAGCUGGCGAGCGGGGGAGGCUCGGGCGGCGCCGACAUGCAGGGGCUGUCGGGCGGCCGUGGCGGCUAGCUCCUGGCUUGCCGGAGCCGUGGCGGGGGCUCUAGGCGCGUUGCGGUGAGAAGGGGAGCGCGUGGCGUGGUGCUGCAGAGCGGGCCAAGACCAGGGGGGCCAGCGUGUCAGCUCGGCGCACGUGCGUGUCAAACGCAUGCUCUGCUCGCUCUCUGGGCGUGCACGGGACGUGCUCGACGUAAUGACAGAGCAUGCUAGAGGUCUCGGGUGAGGUUGGGGUUUAACAAACCUAGGUUAGGGAUAGUGGGGCGAUCAAGGGACAAGGUGGUUAGGUCAGGAGACCAAGUUCACAAUGCAAAUUUAAGAUCAUGUCAAAUCUGGCCAUGCUCUCCAGGUGUUUGACAAAAUGCCACAGGCACCUAGGCUUUUCUUGGAGUGGCCAAAUUCUCCAGAUCAGGGUCUCCUUAGAUGCAUAAGGAGGUGAUGAAGUUAGUUUGCCAAAAGCAGAAACUUGUUAGUGCAAGUUUUGCAAAACUUCAAAUCUGGACAGGAAGAAAAAGGCAUUAUUUCAUGAACCAAAAAUAAUCCAAUGGGUGCAUGCUCCUGGACUUAAGGGCUUGGUAGGGAGGACUAUAAGCAGGAGAAAGCACAAGGUCAUUGGAGCAAAAAUAAAUAGGGUUGCAGUAGAAAUCACAAGGCUGGACCAGAAUGGAAAAGAGGUUGAUUCACUCGAAAUUUUCAAAGAACAGCACUAGGUUUUUGCAUAAUGUUGAAUCAUAUGCUACUACCAACAUCCCAUAAUUUUGGUGGAGGCCAGAAAGAAAUAUUUAAAAGGGUUGUAGUGCAAAAUUGCACUCUGGACCAGAGAAGGAAAAAUGGAUGCAGAGCUCAAAAUAUUACAUGAAUAAAAGAUAUUUUUGUAUAAAAGUGAUUUAAAAACAUCACAUGACAUCUCCAAAUUUUGGUUGGAAUUCUAAGUGAAUUUAUCAAAUGGUUGUAGUUCAAAUAUGGCCAUAUAACCUUGGAAAGCCAUUUUUCAAGACAAUACAAAUUAUGCAAAUUAAUUAUGUAAUUAGUUAUACUGAUAAAAGAAAAGUUUUUCUUGAUAGAUUAAACAAGUCCAAUAACAUAUUUGAAAGGUUUUCACUCUGGGGAAAAACUCCAUAAUAACAAGGGAGAAAAUGGUUCAGAAAUCAAAAGGGAGCCCAGAAAAUAAAAGUUUUAAUUCCUGGCAAAAAAAUUAAUUUAAUAAAACAAGGCCAAAAUUUUGGGGUGUCACAACACUACCCCCCUUAAGAAAAAUCUCGUCCUCGAGAUUUGUUAAAAGCUGUUUUAAGAAAAACUAUAAGCAGUAAAAUGUGGCUACAGUGAGAGGGCAAUAAGUGGUGAAAAACCACAGUGUGAAAACUGGUGCUGCGUGGAAAAAUCUAUGGUUCGGGACAAAACGUGAGAUUUCUACGCUGGAUAUAAUUUUAGAAUAACCUCUAAAUUUAAAUAUACGCUGGUCAUACCCGAGAGCACAGUGCUCUCUCUGGCCGACAGGUGGACCCGGGGCCCACUGUCAGCCUCUUCUUCUCCCUCUGGUUCUCUCUUCUUCCUCUCUCCCGCGCGCUUUCUCCACCGGCGACGCCUAGCGCGUAGGGCAUCUAGGUCGUACCGUGGUAGUGCGCGGCGUGCUAGCUACCAGUGCAGCGUGCACUCACCUCGCGGGCCAGCGCGCUGUCGGCACUGCUCGCGGAUUCGUCUCCAAACACCGGCGAUCAGCGACGAGCGGCGUUGGUGGACUUCGCCCACCGUACACCGAGCUCGAGCUAUAAAACGGCCGGGGUGCCCCUCUCUUCUUCCUCGCACCUGCCCUCAUUUCUCCUCCUCCUUCUUCCAUUACUGCUUACAAAAGCUUGGGUUAGGCUCUAAUGGCGGAGGCGAUGCCGGACUGGUUUGCGAUCCUGAUAUGCGUAGGGCUGGCGACACUGUUGGGGCUCUCCGUGCUCCUGUGCGCGAUGAUCCUCGACGAGCGUCGCGACGCUGCUGCUCGGGUGUUGGCUCUCCACGCUGGUGGUGAUCACGGGGAGUAGAUGGGGUGUGCCGGGUGCUAACUGUUGUUAGGGGGUGAUUAGCUGGAUGUAACACCGUUGCAAGGUUUUGCAAACAGUGUAUGUGUCCGAAAGAUUAUGGUUGUGAGUCUGCUGCCGUGGUGCUGUGUGAAAUUAAUUAAUCCACGCUGUGAGAAGGUGCAGAUGUAGCAACUCAGGGAAAAGAAAUCUUACUCCAGAAUUUUACAAGGGAAAAACAGUUAAUAUAAAGGAGCAUAAACCACAACAAAAACUACACACAUUAGUAGAAGCCAAAUAAUUGACCCGUCGUACAAACUCAGGGUAUCACGUAUAAGUCACACACAUAAAUAAAUGUUGCAAUAAUGAACACCGCAGCGACGUCUAAAAUGGAAACGGUAACUGGACGGGGUCCCUAGAAAACGUUUCUGGUAUAGGGAUACACUCCUCUUCUAUCGGGGGAAGUGGAUUGACCAGUCGAUGCACGUGUCUCUCCUAGUCGGGCCUUAGUGCUCUGCCGAUGGCAAUCUGAGGAUUUAAAUCUGCGAGGCUCUGGAGAUAACCCAUCACAUGUUGGGUUAAACGCUCUUGAGCGAUGACGUACUGGACAAGGUUGGCCAGGACUGGGUCUCUCUCAAUUCGUCCACCGGGAAAAGAUGUCACCCCUCCGGGUGCUACACGGCUCGGGAAGUAAUAAUACCCUCGUUCGCUGGCAUAGGGUACCGCGAAUCGAAGGCGAGCAAGCGCUUCGUAUGCAACAGCUUCUAUGGCCAUAUGUGGGGUUGGCAUAGAUUUCCCCAUGAAGGAGACCUCCGUUGGAUCUUGGUUUGAGUUUACGGGAGGGAUGUGUACUGCUGCCCAAUAUCUAGAGGUGGAAGGGGUAAUUCUCGAUUUGAACAGCUCGUACUGGGGUGGCUGGGUAGCACCCAUGGUACUGUAGGAAAAAUCCCGCAAUAUCUUGACAAAACUACCUGGGGUUGCAUCUGGGGUUCUCAGAUAAAUGCUAGGGGUCGGCAUGGCUAGGAAAUGGUGGUGAGGGUGGUGCACAAGGUGAGAGGUGCUUGGCAAGGUCACGCGGUGGCCUUUUUAUAGCACCGGAGCUGGGUCAUUUUUACCGAGGUGAAUGGUAACGAAAAUUUUCAGCUCUGUUCCAAAGGUCGGGGUCAAGUCACAGAUUCUCACAUUUCACUAUAGUGAUGUGUUACUAUGGGUUGACGGGGUGAUUUUUGGUAACUAUGUCCGGGAUAGAAAUCUUAUACUACAUACUGGUGUAUCCAGGCAAGGCUACCAUUAAAACAGAGGCACGACAACAGGCGGCAUUUAAUUAUAAGGCCACACGAUUACAAAGCGUGGGUACACUGGGGCUCGAUACGACUUGGGUGACUCAGUCUACCUCGUUUACAUCCAAGCGGGCGUGCCUUGAGGCUCCUCCACGGGCGUCAUCGUCGGAAUUAGCUGGAGUGGGUUGAGGGGCUGCAGGCUCGGGGUAGCGAUGAGGACCAUCUCGGGGAUUGUUGGCCACAAUCCCGUUGGAGUGUGCUCCCAAUAUGCGACGAAGCACCUCUGGGGUUAUCGCAGCACCUUGGCUUAUGGCUGGGGCAGGCCUCAGGGACUCGAUCGGGUGUCCAAACAACACGAUUGGGUUGUCGGUGUUGGGCUCGUUCUCUUCUCUCGCCGGGGCUUGACGAACCAGCUCCCCACGAGCUGCGAUUAGAUCAAUAGUGAUUUGAUCGCACAGUUCCUCUAGUGCACUUACAUAGCGCACUAGGUGCAACAAUGCAGGAUCCGUCUCGCGAUCUCCGUUGGCAACUUGGGGUGGUCUACCAUACCCUUCACAUCUGGGGUAGUAGUGGAACGAUCGACAGUUAACUCUGGGCGACAAGUGCCGGAGAUGAACUAUAGCCUCUCGAGCAGCUAGUUGGAUGGCUUGAAGCUCAAAGGAAGUUGUUCUUCCAGUGAACCUGUAGGGGCGCUUGGGCUCUAGACCCCUACCGUAGAUGUGUACAGUGGCCCAGAAUUGACGGCUCUCACCGCUCAUGGGUCCUUGGUACACAACAUAUUCUGGGGGCUCUUCUAACGCAUAGGCACGACGGGUGAGGUUUGCGAGUAUGGUCACAAAGCCUCCAAGGUUGGUUGCUGUGGUCUCGUUGUGCACGACAGGGCCAGGCAUUGUAGCUUGGUUUGGGGUAGAGGUUGUGAUGUGCUGUGUUUGGGCUAGCGUGCCCCUUUUUAUAGGAAAAAGGGGACGGAGUCUUCCUUUGCACGCUUGCGAGAAAGGACUAUUUAGGGGCCGGUCACUGGCUCAUGAGUGACAGGUUAGGUUGAUAGGGUUGGGCACCGACUGCCAAAAGGUGUUGGGUCACUGUGUGGCUAUCUUGUACGAGAAGCUUGGCUGGGGUUUGGUUAUGGCUUGGUGGGUUGGUUUGCCUAAGUUUAUAGACCCGCCUAAGAUAGGAUUAGCCAAUGGUCAGCCUGGCUCUGAUACCAAGUCUGUCACGACCGGGUUUUCCGGGUUUUAAAUUCCAGAAAAAGACCGUCGUGCUCAUCAGCCCCAGGAUUACUGUUAGCUGAUGAGGCUCCAACUUGAUACAGAAAUUCCAAGCAAAAUACAAAAUAUGCGGUACAAGACCAUUCUGGCCUGUGAGUACAACAAUUGGGUUUCUAGUGGUCGAUGGCGGAAGCGGUUUGUGAGACAUCAGUGUCUAUGGGACUCCAUUUCCCACAGGAACAGCUGACCAGGUUAACUCCUAUCUUCACGAGGCUGCUAUCACCGUUGCUUAGGUCUCGAGGCUGUCAUUGUCACGCUCCUCUCCAAGCAGAAAUCUGGCCAAGACAAUAGCCAGGGACAAGCCAGUGAGUACUUUGAAUGUACUCGCAAACAUUAAGAACACAGGUAUAAUAUAAUAGAUAAUCAUGCACUGAAAAAUUCCAUGAUCACAUCGUCAGUCAUAAAUAAAACAACUUUUAUGCAUGCAAGCAGGUUAUUUUCAUGCAACAUGAAUAAGCAGUAAUAGAGUGGGGAUAAAAUGCCGCAGUCGGGCGUGUGAACGACACCACAUAAAGGGCUUUUAAAAGAAAUGCCACAGUCGGGCAUCUGAGCGAUACCACAUAAAGGGCUUUAAAAGAAAUGCCACAGUCGGGCGUCUGAGCGACACCACAUAAAGGGCUUAUAAGAGAAAUGCCACAGUCGAGCGUCUGAGCGACACCACAUAAAGGGCUUAUAAGAGAAAUGCCACAGUCGGGCAUCUGAGCGACACCACAUAAAGGGCUUAUAAAAUAAAUAAAUAACAAGCAAUGCCACAAUCGGGCGUCUCAGCGACACCACAUAAAGGGCUUAUAAAAUAAAUAAUCACAAUGAAUAUCCAGGAGGUAGAACCGUCCCAGGGAUACUUGAUAAUACAAAUAAUGCAACGGGUUAGUCCAUCACAAAAAUAAUAAUCAUGGUCCUCACAAGUAACCAGUCGAUAUCCAAGUUUGGUUUAACAAUAUCUCCUCCGAAGACCGACACUAAGACCAACACUUGACCCAUCCCAGACUGUAAUCCUUAACCAUGGACACGGCUAUUCGAAUAGGUUUAAUCUCUGCAGAGGGUGUACUCUUUACCCACGAGUAAGGGAUUCCUUUAGUCCAUCGGGACUAAUUCCGUCUACGGUCUUUUAGUAGAAAACACGCCUAACUUGCAAACACCAGCUUAACUUAUCGGUGUCUGGAAUCACCCACGACACUUGUUAAGCAAAACUCUAAGUGGGGAGGCUACAACCUCGCGUAGCAUGGGAUCAAAUUUAUAUCGCGCGCUCUAAGGGGUGGCCUCCCCUCUCGGUCCCAAUCGGAAACACCCAUGCCCCCGGACCAGGUGGCAUGCCUACCGGCUACAACCGAUAUCUUCCACCAUGGCCUCUCUGUACGGUGUGUGCUUGAAAGGGGUUGACGACUUACUGAACCAUACCCUACCUGCGGCAGGGACAAGUGGUAGUACAUAGCAAGUAUGGGGGUUACUGGAACAAGACUCGGUCUACGGUCGACUCAGGAGGUUUAUAAGUUCCCUGCAUGACAUGUAUAUCAAAUAUAUUUCAACCGACGAAAUCACCACUCAAUGUACCUUACCAUGCCAUACCGGACAUAACCGUCCCGACGGGGACCGGCGACAAGCUCACUCCUACCCAAGGCAGAGGCUUUCCCGGAUUCCUUUCCGGUGUGCAUGCAAGGCACAUGAGGAUGAUUACCAUCACAAUUAUAUUCAUUCCAACUGCAAGGAAAUCACUAAUAUACUUCCAUGCAAAUGAUCAUGUCACAUGAAAUAACAAGUCCUCUGAAAUAAGGUGGUGUUAUAAACGUGUCAAAUAACACACCAAAAACAUUAUGCCAGGGUUCAGAAUGCUUGCCUUUAAGUUGUGGAGGGGUGAGGUGCUCUCCAAAACUUUUGAAAGUUUCUUCUCUCUCUCCAAAAUCCUAUUUUAAAAAUAUAUUUGAAUUAACACACAUUUCAAAAACAGUACAAAAAAGUUGUUUGGAAAAUUUUCAAAUAAAUCUUAAAAUAAACUAGAC
rnacentral:lncRNA from 1 species